UGGAUUAAUGUUUGUAGUUUUUCGAGUUUUCUCCUGAAUUCAGAGAUGGGCGGUAAAUUGUUGAGUGCUGCUAUUGAGUGUAUAGUGCACGAUACACUUGAUACAGUAUCUUGAUGAUUGAAGCAAAUGUCUGAUCAAAGGAACAUUUAUAGCACCAGAUCACGAAAUAUGGAAAUUUGUUACAGACGGUCAUCCUGUAAUGUUCAACAAGUAGUACACCCUUACAUUUGGAUACGCUAACCAUGAGAGGUUAGUGAUCUAUCAGUAAUGAAUGAAUGGAUUGGAUCAAACUAAGCAUGAGCUGAGUUUGUGUUUGCAGGUAACAGACACGUCUCCCACCCUCUGCUUUUCUUUUGGGCUGAAGAGCAAUAAAAGUGGAGAUUAACACUGGGGGGGGUCUGGAACAGAUGGGUCUGAUGCUAAGUUGAUUUAUUAUCUCCUGGUACUUUUUGGGAUCAAGGGACUCACAAUCUUCAUUGUUGUUUUAUGACCCUGAAGGGUUUGGAGAACCUUUUGUUGAUAUCACCGGGGUUUGAGGUUCACAUUCUGAUACAUUGAUUGAAGUUUUAGUGACUGAUACUGCAAAUGCUCGACCACUUGUGAAAGUGGUAGCAAAGGUCAGCAAAUUGACUGUAAUGAUGGAGGCCUUCAGUGAGGCCAUCAAAUGGUUUAUUUUAAUGGGGAAGUAAGCAAAAAUGGGAAAACAGGUUGAGGAGUUAUGCAGUAAUGCAUAGGUUUUCAAAGGUCAUCAUGACCGAGCAAACAGGCUGAAGGUAAAAGGAGAAGAAAUUGACUGUGAGGGUGAGAAUGUGGGGUAACAUUUUUGUGUAUACUUGGAAUGAGCAGAUUGCUUUGAGGUUAGAAUGAACAAAGAGAACUGGGUUGGUCAAUUAGUUGAUGAAGACAUGGAACAGUCAUACACUGUGGGGGUGAGACCUACAAGCAAAACUCAAAGGGAUCAUUGAACGGGGACACGAAGGCAAUGUUGGUGUUAAUUUUUCAUGAGUUGACUAUGGGGGUCAAUAAUCAGUUAUGUCGAAGAUUCCAAAUUUCUAUAUAUGAAUGGCUCCUCGAAUCGAUUGGAAACAAGGCCGUUUGAGAAAGGCAAUUUUUCAAAACAGUGUGUAAAUACUCUAGGAGCAGAUAAAGAUAUGCAGAGGCAUUCUUUACGUCAACGCAUCACAUUCUUCAUUCAGCUGAGGCUCUAAUCCAAAGCGACUUGCAGGAAGUGAAUUUGAACAAGAGGGAACAGAACCAGAACAGCAAGAACAAAGAAGGGAUUUCUCCUUCUAAGAAAGCAACAUUUGGAACUCCUUCCACCAUCAGGUGAACAUCAGGAGUCAGGACAAAUGAUGACUUUGUUGGGAGUUUAGCUCCCAGUAAAAGAAACAAUAGGCAGAUGCUGAGAUGGGAGUGAAUUAGGGACGAGGAUAGAUUUCAAAGGGGAUGGCGACUCAUGGUCGAGGAGGGAGUGAGCAGACCUCCCUAAAACAACAACUGAUAAGAGGAGGAAUCCUGGGGAAGUGUCGGAGCCAUAAAAUUCAUCCACAGGUUGUAUGUCAUCUAAGAGUCAUUUACGAAUCACACACGGUUGGUAUGGGGGGAAUUAUUUCACUAUGAUAAAUUUACUGACACAUUUUUCCUCGAAUACAUGUGCAUGGCAAUUGUUAACUAUGUUUUGCUUUUCAGUAGGAACAGGCGACUCCAAUGCGAGACGGUCCAGAUCGGCAACGACACCCAGUAGAAACGGCGUUGUGGGGGUUUUACGACAUUGUUAGAUAAGCCAGGAGGUGGCCUGGGGUUGAUUAGCAUCACCAAAGGCUAUGUGAAGGGAUGCUUUUACACCUACCUCAACAUGAGGGACUGGGGGAGAACAGAAUACAACUAGAGUAUCUGCCGAUUUGGGAACAUUAUUGCAUGCAGUGUAAAACACAAUCAUAAGAUUCUAAACAACAGAUAUGUGUAGAUGACAUUGAUUUAAGGUGUUAAGAAGAACAAUCAGUCUUUCUAUCAAUGAAACAACUCACAAAUUGAUUAGAAUAUUUUUAGGAAAACACUAGAUGUUAGAGUUUAGCUACUCAAGUGGCAUUUUAGGGAUAACAGCAGACGAUGGCCAACGCAGGAAGAUUCAACAUGACUUUUCUUCCUGGAACGAAUGUGCAAUGACAUUGCUCUUCUCAUACACUGACACAAGGACUGAUGAGACACACAGAUGAUACAAUUACUCCACAUUAAAAGAAAUAGCUAAAACUGGGAAAUAAGUGGGUGAAAUGUUGAGUUCCAGUUAUGUUUAAAUAUGCACACACUAGAUGGUAGAACUUGUUGGCUUGAAGAGUUUGGUAAACCAGAAGAAAGAGCAACAGGAAUUGGGAGAGCACACACACACACACACUCACACGCACAUCUAGACACACCUACACACACCCACACACAUAGCUGCACCACUUGUGCUUCUCUAUUCAACAGCCGAUUGGGGAAUCUUGUCCUAAUGGGACCUCCGGUUAGCAGAGCAGUCUGCUCACAGGAACUGAGGUGAUCCGAGGUCCAAGGAGGGAGCGUGAAGCUUAAUCACACGUCUAGGAUGACAGCUACGUGUCAUCUGACCAAACCGCUGACAACAACAGAUGUUCCAACAGAGGAACAUCAAGGAGGAGAAGUAUAGGCACACACAUACAACGAAGAAAUCCACAAACACUGAGCUAAUGUGACACACAAUUUCCAGAUUAGAGAAGGAACGGGAACUGCUGGGACACUUGAUAAACACAUAUGAUAAGA
ensembl:lncRNA